AUGCACAUGCCAUACACAUCAAAAAAGAAUUAAUGGCCUUUCCCCAAAAAAGGAGAUCACAGCUCUCACAAUGUUCAUGUCUCGCAAAAAACACUGUUGUGCCCGCCCAGUUGGAAUCCGAACAUGGAGAGAAGCAGAUCUGUGUUAGACUUCUUGCCUCUAAUCAAUAGUGAUACAACUCAGUGGCUGAAACUGAAAAGGGCUGCUGCCUAUCAGAUCUCCCUGUGGAAGGACAGACCUGGGAGCUGGUGUUUGCUUUUUUUCACUACCAAAAAAAUCACCUUAAGCUGAGUUUAAGUAAAAUGCAUUUAAGAAAAAACACAUAUUUUUUGGUGCAUUGCUGUUUAUAGGGGAAUGAAGAGUGUUCAGGGAAUUAAAUCCAGGAGAGAUGACAGAGGCUUGUGUGUGUGUGUGUGACUAAACUAAUACUAAAGUGACUAUAACUUUUAUAUGACCAGCUCUCUCUGGAAGACACUCAUAUUUGUAUGGAUCAGUCAAAAGUCCUACAAGGAGGUAAAAUGAACAAUUCUGCACUAUGCUGAGCAGCAGGGGAUGCCAAGACAUAACCCAGUGGAAGCACUGGCCUGUGAAAGUUUACAUCUGCCACUGGACUAUGUAAUUUUUCUCCGCCUACAUCACCAUGAUCUUCUCCCCCACUUCCCCUAACCAUUUUACAGUGCUGGUGUGAAGAUCUGAGAACAGUUCUUGCAGUGCUGUGCAAGGACACCCUGAACUGGGUAGGGACCAUUGUGCAGUGGGAGGUGAGGUGGGUAAAGCUCUACUGAACAGGUGCCAGGAUCAAGUAGCCUGCAUGAUUUACCCAUCACAUCAGGGGAGACUGGAAGCUGGAGCACCUCUGCUUGUCAGCUCUUAGAGUGGUUUCAAGAAGAUAAGAUCCCUCCAUUUAAUGUAGCUGAAGCAGCCAUUUAGCCUGCAAGUCAGACAGGACUUGUCAAUUAAGAAUGACUGAGUUUCUGUGAUUCUGUGUUUCACUGGACUGUCUGAGACUAUGGAUAUUUUCUGAACUAUGCUGGAAAGCAACCACAAGUCAUAUGUCUGCAUGGGAAAACUGCCUGUGGAACAGUAAGAAUAAUUUUGGCUUGAAAAAAUCAGUUCUGAUCAGUUUGGAUUGCUAUUUCACAGACACAGUCCAGCCUGUGUCACCUUCAGCCUACCCAGUAGCAGGUGCUGAGCUGAGGAGUCAUAAAGCUGGAUUCAAGUUAUAGAAAUAAAGAUACUUUCAUGGCUGGUCGUUUUAGCUUCCUAAUGAAGGGAGAGCCAUAGAAGAGCAGGAAGCAUGAGUUAAGAACCACAAACAAAGCUGGGGGGCGGAUGAUCUAUUAUGCUUUAGGAUCAUAUGAGAAGACUUGAAAGAGUGUCAGCAAAAUCCGGGUGUGGUAAAAGUGCAUCCUAGCAGAAGGUCUUCAAAACAGGCAACAAAACAAUAGCAAGAGUUCAUGUGGUCUAGACCAAUGGCCAAAUAUAGGAAACCGCAAUAUUUGCUUGCUGGAGCAGAAGUUGGCAGAGAGGAAAAACUGCCUGAGAGUGGAAACUCGCUGUGGCAGCCAAGCGAUGUCCAGGAGGGACCCAGACGCUUCCUCACAUAGCACCAGGAAUUGUGUGGGCGACCCUGGCUUUGUGUGCUCAAGCCUGGAACAGGAAAGAUGCCAGAAGUGGAAGCAGCAUCCUUGGGGGAGUGCAUGUGAGGAAGGAAAAGUAGAGUGGCAGGAGGGAAAGUCAGAACUAGACACAAAUAUCCAUUCUGCAGCUCCCAUCACACAAAGUGGUCUGUAAGAUCAAUUGGGGACUGAACAGAGCUUGUCCUGCAAAUGACCUUAUGAAGGAGAGCAGCUGGCUAAGGGCUCUCUGUCAUUUAGGGAAAGCAGGAGUUCUUGGGAUUAUGACAGAAAGCGAUCAGAGUCCAUAGGUGCUCACCCUUCAAGCACCUUCAGCAAAUGAUGAAGAGGAAAAUCAGAGGGUCACAUUGGCCAUAAGCCAGAGUGGUAAACAAAUGCACAUGACUUCAGGUAAGCCUGAUGACCCACUGCCUGAGGAAAGAGCAGCCGUUUCCUGAGAUGUCCACAGGCUGGAGUGGUCUAACAGCUGCAUGGGGCUGCAUGGAAGGAAUCACUAGGUGGACCAGCACAAGAUAAACUUACAGUAUACAUGAAUGUUGCAUGCUGCUUUGGUAAAAACUGCUACACUACAAAAUCGAAGAAAACAUAAAAUAUGUAACCUUGUUGUACAAUUCUUAGGUAAUCCCACCGUUCAUGGUGUACGCAGUUAAUCUAAUAGUAUAACUUUGAGUCUUCUUCUCUGAGCAGUCUGAGUGGCUGGAAGGCUGCAGUGUGGGACCUGUCAGAACAUCCCUACAGAAAAGCCUUGCCUUUUUUGAUUGCCACUAGCAACUUAAUGUUUCCUGAAACCACGUGCAGCAGAAGCAUUUGGUAUUUUGCCAAACCAAAAAGGAACGGGUGUUAUACCCAAACUGCUUGGAAGAAUUUACCCCUCUUUGUGUUUCACGCAUACUUCUGCAAUGUACCCGGAGUGCCAUGGAGGCGAAAGCAAAAUCUGUAUGCAAGUCAGAGAGGAGACUGGCACUGAGAAGUGGCGGUAGCUGGCUGGAUUUGGCUGAAAAAACAGGGUGGAAGUGGAGACAGGCAGUAGUACCCAGUCCUGUGCCAGUCAGCAGUGGUAAGGAAGGAGUGACCACCGAGGGACAGCAUUUUCCUUCAUAGUUUUGUCAUGUUGUUUCUGAGAUCUCCUGCCCUGCCAACCCUACAUCACCAUUCAGAUAGCUGAAAAUAAUGUGGCCGUUGUGAAAAUCUCGCCGAGAGCCUGUAGGUGCCAGGAAACAUGGAAGUUCUCAGUACUGACCUCUUGUCUAAGGGCUGGACACAGUGGGGAGGCCACAGAGUCUGGAGAAGACAAAUAAUUCCCAGCAUGCGAUGGUGACUGUUGAACAAACUCCCGCUGUAAGGCCAAUUGAAAGGCUCCCAUUGAUUCCAAGGAAAGCUGGAUCAAGCCCUGGGGGAAAAAUCAAUGCCGAUUAAGAAUAGGAUAAACGGUGAAAGGGAAGAAAUACGACUGCAAAUUCCACUGGACCCAAACCCAAAACCGAGAGUACAUAUUCUAAACUGCAGGAAUACACACUUUCUAAAGCCUCCUAAGUCUCUGCACUGGUACAAUAAUCUCAAACAAACUUGAAAGAAGAUUGAAAAUAGAUGGGGUGUCUCUAAGUGAAAAGAGACAGUUAUCCUCUGCACCUGCUAACAAACACAGUCUCUUUUUGUUAUUAAAUGUCUGUAACUUAAAAUACCACCUGAAAGUAAACUCCUUCAUCAAUUUAUCAUGAAUUCUUCAAAGGUAUUUGGGAAGUUUCUCUAAACCAUUGGCUUUAUUGUGGCUUUAUUUAAGAUUUGAGGAGAGAGAAUGCUGCAAUCAGAAAGAAAAAAAGGAAGACAGACAGAGGAAAUGAUUACCUUUCAGUCCCUGUGAUUUAGAAAGAAUAACAUGCUGCUUUCUUGGUCUGUUGUAUUAUACACUUACAGAAUAAGAUGUGACAAUGUGGCAUUGAACUGUAACUCUCUACUGAAGAGAUAUCAUCCUGCAUUGUGUACCAGGGACUUCUGUACCUGGGACUUUUGUGUCCUUCCUAGAAUGCCAUCCUUCCACUAGUUUUGGAUUUAUCACUGUAUGCUCCCCUCUGUACCUUUCCAGCAGAAGUGACUAAUGCAAAGGGUAGGCAGCCGUGCCCUCACCUUUGAGUAGUCACUUCUCUUCAUUUGGAAUAAAGGUUAGUUUUGACAGCAAUUCUAACAUUUCUAUAUUAUUAUUUUUCUGUGCUAUUUUUAAGUUCCUCAAACUCUUCCAAAACAAACCUAGGUAAGUUUUCCUUCUUUUUCAAGUAGUGCAGCCACACAUAUUUAUUCCUUGUGGAGUAAAAGGUUGUUGUUGCAGUGCAGCACCCUGGGCAGUUAAAAACUUCCAGAAGUACAGCAGCAAGUAGCUACUUUUCCUGGUGGUGGUGAAAUGCAUAUCUGUUUAGGAUAAACAGCUUUGUAGGCCUUCUCGAACACUUCACCACUUCAACUCAUAAGGAAGGCAGGCUGGGGAAAAUGCCAGGCAUUAGCUGUGGCAAACACUUUUCUGUCUCCUUUUUGACAAUGGGAUUAAGAAAACACAAUUUCUAAUAGGUACACAGCAAAUUAGGGAUGUUUGACAUCUGUUUCUUUAAUUUGGAGCUAACUAAAUGCUCUCAAAACCAUCCAGAAGCACUGGAGUCUGUGAUAGGAACACCAGAAGAAGUACUCCAAGAGGAAUAAAACUGGGAAACCGGUUACUGGGUAUAAUGGGAACCGGCGCCAACCACAGCUGCCUGCAGCUGGAGUACCCUGAGCUCAGUGUCUCAGGAAGCCCAUUCCAGCCCUGUGCUCUCCUUUUUUUCCAUCAUAUCCUCUGUUAUGCGUGUGUUUUUGUCUACUCAUUGCCAAACUUUGAACAUCAGAAAACUUAUAAACUCAAACUAAACCAUUUGGCUUAAAAAGAUGCAAUAAAAGUGAUCACUGGAGAAUAUGAAUCAGAUAAAUGUGUCCUUUUGACAAGAGUUUCUUUUUUUCUACUGCAAAAUAAUUUAUUAUUCCAUAUGUUUUGCCACUGAAGGUUUGCUUUUAGAAUGCGCAUUAUAGAAACUCUCAGAAAUUUUCUCCAAAUCCUAGUUCAAAUAUAUGCAAAAUCAAGAUGUUCCCUUUGUGUGUGUGUGUGUGUGUAAAUAGCAUUACAACAGUUUCCCCACAGAAUGCAUGGCAAAGGUGGAAAGAGAUUUAUUUACUGACAUCCUGUGCGACACAUUCAGCCAGCCUGAUUGCUGUGUCUUUGUACCAAAGCAAUGCUGACUUAAGUAAACUAAGCAUUUGACUACGCUGUGUGCAUAAAAUUAGGCUCAUGACCCAGUUCCCUUUUUUCUGGUAAAGUUCUGGGUUGCUCUCUUCAUUUUUGGAGUCUUGUUUGGUGUUUCUUUCGCCUGGCUGGUGCUGUUCUGUAGCCUUGGGGCAGGGCUUAUCUGGCAGUAUUCAUGACUAACUUUUGUCAGGACUCUUUCAAAGUUAAAGAGAAAUUUUAUUUAAGGAGGAUUGGAAUUGCAAAUAAACAUACUUUUUCUUAUCUGAUUUCAGCUGCGAUCGGGGUAAAAAAAAAAGUACUUUGUGGGUUGUUUGUACACAUAAAGGAUUGUGUCACAGGAACAUUUCAGCCAACUACCAUCUGCUGCUGCUAAUGGAAACUAAAUCUAAAUCAGCCCAAAUUAGGCAAGUCGCUGAGAUCAAACCAGACAAAGAAUGAAGACUUUACGUUCAGUUUAAUGUUUAAAAUGGCUUUCUAAAAUGGGUGGUUUUCUCCAACGCCCCCCCGCUAAAAUAUGCCACAACAUACAAAUGUGCAGUGUUGAGGGUAAGUCCAAGAAAAGAGAGCUAACUCCCAGGUAAAAUGUGGUUUCCUGGAAACAUUUGGAAUAUGCCCUGUGCUUUGGGCACGUAUAUAUGUUGUGGGUGCUGGGAACAGGGUGGAGAGCCAGGAAUUGCUCGAGGAUAUGUAUUUCAGCGAUGGACUGGUGAGAAAUACUAGGCCAGAACAGGGGUACUAGAGCCUUUAAUAACAGGAGACAACAAAGCAGACGUGGGAACCCACCCCUUGCAAACAGCACUUCGCAUGUGCAUGUGAUUAAUAGCUGUGGUGAAGGGUUAGUGAAUAACAGCCUGAUGCCAAAUGGAUAUCAAUGGGAUCAAACCAUGCAUUUGGCAGAUAUAGGAAGGAGUACUCAUCAUUGUACAUUGAAUAAAGGAAAGUGUGCAGCAACUCCCCGAACCCCUGGUAGAGCUCUGGCAUAUGGACAAGAAUCUGGCUGUAACCCUGUACAGCAAGGACCACGCAUGUACACAUGUGCACACAAUUACAUGGCAUGGACGUAACAGGAGAAAAUGGAAUAUAAAAUAUUACAGAAAGCCAAUAAUUCUGGUUUAUAUCUUUCUUUCUCCUUGAGGCAGAAAAGAACCUGGCUAUUUUAAAAUCUGGGAUAUAUUUACAUAGCCAAAUGUAACGCUUUUUCUUGUGCAAAAUAGGGUAGGAAGGAAUUUAAAAUGUCAACAUUUCCUAGACCUGUUCAUCUCUUUUUCAUGCCUUCCUCUGUAUUAAGUAUUAUGGAAUAGACACUAGAUGAUAGAAACUGUGACAGUUCUGCUGAAGCUAUGACAAGUUAUACCAGCUGCAAAUUUGAUCCAAAAUCUCUGACAAUGCACCUAUGAUGGAAAAUAUGGUUUUAACCACAUGGUAGCUAGCAUAUGGGCAAAUCCUUUUGUUGACAGAGCAAGCUGCGUCUUUGAUUUGUUAGAAGAUUCAGGAAGCCAAAUGAAAGCUUUAACACAGAAGAACAGUAUUUUCCACAAGACACAUUCUGUAGGAUAUCUUUGUUUUCCAAAAAUUCCUAAUGAAAAUGGAAAGAACAACAUUUUUUUUUUACCAAAUUUAUCUUCAAAAUAUAACAAAAAACAUUUUCACAAUGCUAAAUUCUUCUAAAAGCUACUAGAAACUGAUCAAAAUCCAAGUUUGUUGUUACCAGUGCACAAAGACCUUGGUAUAAAUGGGCCAAUUUGGUGAUGGUAAAAUUUAUGGGAGCUAGAACUAGGUAUAUUUUCCCAAGCAAGCAAAGUAUGCAAAUGUUACUAGGAAAGAUUAAAUGAAUUAGAAUACUGCUACUUGGCAAAACACAGGGAAUUCUCUCCCUUGUGUACAUGGGAGAAAAGGUACCUAAGCAGGGAGUCCAAAUAAUUUUAUUUUUGGCGUGUACACUGGAGAUUAUAACCUUCGCUUCACUGAAUCUUAUGGCACGCACCAAUGUAAAUGGAAUCCAGCAUCUAUAUGUAAUAGCCUGUAACCAACCAAUUGACUCACUGAUCACUGAAAGCAUAUAGUUCUAUAACUAUCUGGUUAUGUGACACAGGAGGGAGAAAACUGGGUCACCUGCAUAUCCUGAGUCACUUCUGUCAGUUAAAAGCUGUGAAUGCUCCACUGAACUGAUCGAACUUCUGCUACAAACCUUGUGUACAAAAAAACCUUCAAACAGAUCAUGUUUUCUGUUUUUCCAGAUUUGCAAAUAAAAGAAGCAAUUGCCUUAGCUCUAAAUCAAAGCAGCAAUGUCUUGGAUCAGCUAGAAAAGUAGUAAUGUCUGUAAUACACUAAAAAUUAAAUUUAAUGCAACCUUACUGCUGGAAUAUGUUAAUUGUAUUUUAAAGCAUGGAGACAGAGGCCAUCUGAGAUUUCCAUUCAGGAUUUCAUGUAUACAGAGUAGAUAUUUCUCAAAUUGAGCAAG